rnacentral:piRNA from 1 species
UAUUACUCUGUCCGAAGUUGCGCGCUC